rnacentral:rRNA from 1 species
AGAGUUUGAUCAUGGCUCAGGAUGAACGCUGGCGGCGUGCUUAACACAUGCAAGUCGAACGGACGUAAGGGGCUUGCUCCUUACGUUAGUGGCGGACGGGUGAGUAACGCGUGAGCAAUCUGCCCAUAUCAGGGGAAUAACAGUUAGAAAUGACUGCUAAUACCGCAUAAGACCACAGAGAGGCAUCUCUCAGGGGUAAAAGAUUUUAUCGGAUAUGGAUGAGCUCGCGUCCCAUUAGGCAGUUGGCGGGGUAACGGCCCACCAAACCGAUGAUGGGUAGCCGGCCUUAGAGGGUGAUCGGCCACAUUGGAACUGAGACACGGUCCAAACUCCUACGGGAGGCAGCAGUGGGGAAUAUUGGGCAAUGGAGGCAACUCUGACCCAGCAACGCCGCGUGAGCGAUGAAGGUCUUCGGAUUGUAAAGCUCUUUAAGUGGGGACGAAGAAAGUGACUGUACCCACAGAAUAAGCCUCGGCUAACUACGUGCCAGCAGCCGCGGUAAUACGUAGGAGGCAAGCGUUAUCCGGAAUGACUGGGCGUAAAGGGUGCGUAGGUGGUUCGGCAAGUUGGUAGCGUAAUUCCAGGGCUUAACUUUGGGCGCUACUACCAAAACUGCCGGGCUUGAGUGCAGGAGGGGUGAACGGAAUUCCUAGUGUAGCGGUGGAAUGCGUAGAUAUUAGGAAGAACACCAGCGGCGAAGGCGGUUCACUGGAAUGUAACUGACACUGAAGGCACGAAAGCGUGGGGAGCAAACAGGGAUUAGAUACCCUGGGUAGUCCACGCCGUAAACGAUGAAUACU